CCCACAGCACCUGGGCUCUGUUGCAGCCUCCUCCCACCCCAGCUGUGGCCACUUUGCCCUCCCUGCCCACUGCCCUAUUUAAGCAGCCCCAGGACAGGCAGCAGCCCCAAGCUUGCCCAACUGGGCAGAGGAUCCUCCUCCUGUCACCACAGGCUGAGCUCUUGCAUGUUCAGCUGCUUCUUGCUCCCCCCUUGUGACCCUGCAGCAGCGCCAGGACUGGAGCUGGGAGCAGCACUGGGAGCAGCACUGCCUUAGCCGCAGCUCCACCACACCAAACCUUCAGCUCCUCUGGACUGAAUGAAGGUGCUCAGGUGAAGCUACCAUAGAAGGAAGGAAUGAUCCAUGCUGCUACAGCACAGAGCAAGGGCAGCAGGGCUGGAAAUCAGAAAUCCACUUUUGAAGCCAGGGUUGAGCAGCAGGAACCUUCUGUGACUGCAAAUGGGCUCCAGGAGAUGUUUUUCUGUGUCCUUUUGGGAUGACACAGCCUUCUGGAAGCAAACAUCAGGCUGCAAGAGACUUGAAGAUUUCCUUGGAUGGUAGAUUUCCCAAGGUCAGCAAAGCAUUGUUUGCUUGCAGCCAACUGGGAAGGAAAAGCAUUCCUGGCCUUUAAAAAUGAGUGUUGUCCACUGCUGGGUUUGCAAAAGGAGUGGAGUGGAAUCUGGGUGAGCUGGAGAGGCUGGAAUUGCAUCAAAGCUCUUUAAGAGACAAUUAAACUUAACAAU